UACGUAGGGGGCUAGCGUUAUCCGGAAUCAUUGGGCGUAAAGCGCGUGUAGGCGGUCCGGUAAGUCCGCUGUGAAAGUCGAGGGCUCAACCCUCGAAUGCCGGUGGAUACUGUCGGGCUUGAGUACGGGAGAGGCGAGUGGAAUUCCUGGUGUAGCGGUGAAAUGCGCAGAUAUCAGGAGGAACACCGAUUGCGAAGGCAGCUCGCUGGAACGUUACUGACGCUGAGACGCGAAAGCGUGGGGAGCAAACAGG
rnacentral:rRNA from 1 species